GUCCGACGGAGGAUGGCGGCAUCGUUCCGCGGCUGGUCUCGUCCGGGACGAGAAAAAAGGGUUUUGACUCGAAGGCUUUCCUUUGGGAGAGCUCUCCAUCC
rnacentral:rRNA from 1 species